AGUCGUCCCUUCCCUCUCCUCACCUCCUUUCUCUUCAAAUUUUCCUUUCUUUUUCUCUUGUUGCCGCUGCCCAAACAACCUUGAACCACCAUCUCUUUUUAUUUUCUUUUGCCACAAGAUAUUGCAUCAUUCUCCCCUCUUUCUUGGUGCCAUUUUCCCUUAAUUUUUCAGCCUCAAAUAUGAAAUCUUGGACCUCCAAGAAUGAUCUUCAUUGUUGCCAAGAAGUUUCAUUGCCGCCCAUUUCUUCUAGCUUGUGUUCAUUUUAAAUUUUUAAAGAGAAAUCGUGAUAUUUGCAAGUGUGCUACAGUAAAGCGUAAAAUAAGGUUCAUUUCGAGCCCUAAUUGUUUGGCAUGUUAUCAAAGAUGUGAGAUUGACUGAAUGAGUGUAUGAUUGAUUUUGUUGUGGAUGACUAGUUAAUAUUAUGUAUGUUGGUUGUAUGUAUAGCAUGUUUUCGAAUGAGAAUGAGGCAUAUGCAUGAUAUAUUUGUAUGAAUGAUUUACUAUAAAAUGUUUGAAAAGCUACUAUACAUGCACUCAGAAAAGUAUUAUAAGUUUAUAUGACAUUGUGAUAUGUUGAACGACACCAUCUUAAUGGUGAAUUGAAAGUUGGAUAAAUGAUCCAAUUGACUGAAAGUAUAUGAAUGUAUAAGGGCAUGUUGAUCGCGCUACUGAAAUGAGAAAGAAUCAAAUUCAUGACUUUGUAUGAGAUUGUAUUACAUCUUGCAUACGCAUCGAGGUAGGUUUGAUAUUGUGGUUGACUGAGGACUUCCGUGGAGUAUUAACGGCAUAUUAAGUCUGCAUUUAUACGUAGUCAGUGCACUACACAGGGAGUAUUGUGGAGAAUGUAUAUUUUUAUCGCAUUUUAAAUGGCAUAAUUUCUACAACCAUGUUUAUACGGUGGUUUUACCAUAUCGAGCUUUGCUCGCAAUGUUGGAGUUUAGCAGACGAGUUCUGAGGAACUCGUGCUUUGUAGCAAAUAGUUGGGGUAGGAAUUUAUUUUGCAUUACGACAUGACAUGACUAAUUAUAAUAUUAUUAUUGAUGUUUUGAUUGUGAUA